UAUUUAACCGUUCUAUAUGUUUAACAUUAUUAUUUUUUAUUUAAAAAAAAAAAAUCUAACAUACCAAAAGGCUCAAAAUUCUAACCCUAACUCCUCUUUCCUCUUAAGAUAGUCGUCAUACACUCAUUCUCCUUCAUAACUUCCCCUCUUGUUUUCCUCUUCUCUCACUUCUUUCCUCCUAUGAGACUCUAACUCCUUUCUCUUCUACCUUCAUCCCUUAAUGUUCAAAUAACUACAAGCUGAAGCCCGAUUAAACUCCGAGCAUCGUCACUGAUGUUACAAAAUAUGCGGUGUGCAAAAAUCAAUAUUCUCAAUGUUACAAAAGUUGCGGUGUGCGAAAAUUCGUCGACAUCUUCCUCUGUUUACAACUAGCGGCCUUACCCAACCUCCGAUACAAUUAAUGCGAAAGAUUAAGCCAUUGAAUAUUUGUUUUGCUCUAUUUAUGGUCAUAAGUUGUUGCGGGUUGAUUGGUGUUUAACAUUAUGGAGGCGGUGUGGUGGUUGAGGUUGGUGGAAACGUUGCGGUGGUUCAGGUUGGUGGAAGUGUUGAUGGUGGUUCAGGUUGGUGUUGAAGUGUCGUUCAGGUUGGUGUUGAAGUGUUGCUGGUGGUUCAAGUUGGUGGAAGACUGGAAGUGCCGCUGCGGUUGGUUUCGAAUUUCAAGGGAAAAUGAAGUUGGUGUUCUUCUGAAGUUGUAAACACAUUAAUAAUUAUUAAGUUAGUUUAGAGAAUUGUAUCAAAAUCUACUUGAAUUGUAAUUACAAUAAAGUUUUUUUUUUAAUUAA